CCGCAGUGCUUUACAGUGUGUGGAUGAACAAACAUGUUGUUGUAAACAGACAAGUUGGACACACAGGAACAGAGGGGUUGCGGACCCUGGUCAAUGAGCUUACAUGCUAGAGUGAGAGGGGUAAAGUGACACAAAAGGUAAGGAUAGUAUUAGACUAAUGACAAUUGUAAGAGAGGUAUCAGUCGGGAGCUAUUAACAGUUUAAUUGAUACACUUUUAUGAAGAAGUGGGUUUUAAAUGAUUUCUUGAAGGAGUGGAGACUGGGUGAGCAUCUAACGGAGGAGGGAAUUGAGUUCCACAGGAGAGGUGGAGGUACGCACAGAAGAUAGACUUAAGUCUUCAGCAGAGCGUAAGGGCCUAGACGGG